UACGGAGGGUGCAAACGUUGCUCGGAAUCACUGGGCGUAAAGCGCACGUAGGCGGCCUCGUAAGUUGGGUGUGAAAGCCCUGGGCUCAACCCAGGAAGUGCAUCCAAAACUGCAAGGCUUGAGUACCGGAGGGGUUCAGAGAAUUCCUGGUGUAGAGGUGAAAUUCGUAGAUAUCAGGAGGAAUACCAGUGGCGAAGGCGCUGAACUGGACGGUAACUGACGCUGAGGUGCGAAAGCGUGGGUAGCAAACAGG
rnacentral:rRNA from 1 species